GCCGCGCCCCUUUUAGCCCGUGACCACGCCUAUCAGUCAUUCCAGCGAGAUGAGGAGCAAUGAACGUGAAGGGAAACCCGCUAGGAGACCGCACCCGAGGUUCCCAUGAAAAGGCUGGAGAGUACAAGAUGGCUCGGCAACAGGCCCUGUGAGCAAGAAGAGACUUGCAUCUCCCGCAUGAAAACCUUCCCACCUCCAGCCUCCCCCAAAUACUUGUUGUAAAAGCUUUCUGCCAAGAGGCUGCCAGGGAAGGAGGGGUGGGAAUGCUGAUGAGGAGUUACCCAACAACUCUUCAUUCAGUCCAUGGACUUUCUCUCAAUGCAUGAGAUGGAGAAGAAGGCAGCAGCUCUGCAAAUGCUGUGUCACAUUAGCUCACAAUAAAAUGUAAUAUUCUUCUAAUACAGAGAAAUAUCAAACAUAUCUUUUUAGAUUCAGGAAAACACCAUCAUUGAUUUUCCCUAUAUCUCCUGAGCAGGACAAUGCCAAAUAUGUCUAGUUCUGUGGAGAUUUCCAUAGACACAGAUAAAGAUACUAUAACUACUCUUGAUUGUCAGCUCAAUAUCAUUCAACAUGUUUUUAGGUACAAAGAGAAGUCACCAGAAAUAUUAAUGCCAGGAUUAUAAAAUGUGGCAUGCUGAGACAUCAAAAUGGAAAUUUUUAUCCGGAAAACAAUGUGGCAUGUUAAUAAAAACACUUUCUAGGACAAAGACAUUCCACACGGUAAAUAAGUGCGUUGUCUUUGUUGAAGUUGACAGUUGCAGCGAUUAUAAACUUUGCGAUAUGUUGGUUUUACCACCAGUGAUUUGGGUUAUUUCCAAUGGAGAUGCAUUCUUAAUAGAUGUUGCCCACAUUUGCACAUAAAUAAUUGGGGGCGACUAAUCUCCCUGUCGGCAACUUCCCUAAGAUUCUGGAAGCCCAGCAUGUCUUCCAAGACUAUGGAGGGGUUCGGGAUGCAAGGACAAUAUGGGCCCGGCCCCAUGAGAUGAUGAUGAUUCCCCCGGGGCCACUAACACCUACUCUCAGCUCCGUGUCUAGAGACAAGUGGGCUACCAGAAUUAAAAGGCAGGUGUCUGCUUCCUAAGCCCAAACUGCUGCAGAUCUUUCUGAGCCUCGCCUGCGCAGGACCAGUCAGUACAAGGUUAAAACACCAAGGAAAAAGCACUUCUCAGUGCUAUUUUUGCUUUCCACCAAUAAUGUAUUUGGAGUAGUUUAUAAUACUUGUUUUGAAGAAAUAAUGUACAAGGUGCAAAUCCCAACCAUAACCAUGGUGUAUUUUUAAGCAGACAGCUGGUUAAGGGCAUUACUGCAGCGUAACUGAAAAGCAUAUACCAAUCACAAUACACAGAAGUUAAUUAUUUUGUGCUAAUGCCAGAUUGCCCCGGAUGCAUGCCUGAAGACUAGUCAGGCUGCACAGAGGUGUACAAUCCACACACACACACAACAAAGGACUAAUUAUGAAUUGAACAGGCACACCCAGUGCAAGAGUCACAGAGAUAAGGCAAAAAACUUCUCUGCUACAUGUGACAUCCCAAGAGUCCUUCUCCCCCAGCUGCUGUAAAUGAUCCCCUUUGUUUUCUGGGAAGCCUGCUACCUAGCAACAACUAAGUGGCAUGAUAGACCUUGCCAAAAAAUUGCCAGCCCUCUUGUCAUCAUGGCUGCCGAGCACACUGCUCAGUACACUAAUGCAAUAGAAUAUCCUGACAACAGGAGAAACGACAUUUGGGAGGUCUGUCUUCCCACAAAGCUGUUGCUAGCAGUGUGACAGGCCUGUAGGGCUCUAGACACAUUACUGAUUAGAAAAUCUAUUACUAAUCUUUGCCAUUCAAUCUUCUUUAAAGGGAAAAUCAACGCCCCAAAAAAUGUUUUGCCUAGUAAAAGAAAACAUAAUUGUAAGCAGCUUUGCAAUAUACAUUCAUUACAAAUUUUCUGGUUUCUAAAAUGUAUGGUUUUUAAGUUAUUUGUAUAUGUAAGCAAUAACUUGCUGUCCCCUUUAAUCUCUGCCUUGGUGGCUCAGACUGUUGAUACAAUGUAAGACAAGGCGGCUGAUUAACAGACCUGUCUUUGCUGGGGAACUAAGACGUUUGCAACAUUGUUUAAAAAGUAACAAGCAGGAGUUAAGCAAACAUUGCCUUCAGUAGCUAUUGAUUUUACAAAAUAACUUUAAAAGCACUGAACAUUUUCAAUAAAUUUAUAUUGGAAAGUUA